AAAUAACUAUGAUUCCCUUAGUAACGGCGAGUGAACAGGGAAAAGCCCAAAUUUGUAAUCUGGCACUUUUUACAAGUGUCCGAGUUGUAAUUUGUAGAGCUGUUAUCCGUACUGGACCAUGUACAAGUCUGUUGAAAAGCAGCAUCAUUGAAGGUGAAAAUCCUGUAGAUGAUAUGGACUACCAGUAUAUUUGUGAUACGGUUUCUAAGAGUCGAGUUGUUUGGGAAUGCAGCUCAAAGUGGGUGGUAAAUUCCAUCUAAGGCUAAAUAUAAGUGAGAGACCGAUAGCAAACAAGUACCGUGAGGGAAAGAUGAAAAGAACUUUGAAAAUAGAGUUAACAGUACGUGAAAUUGCUGAAAGGGAAACGUUUGAAGUUAGUUUUGUAUUCGUUGGAUCAGCUUCGCAAGGAGUGUAUUCUGAUGAUAAGCAAGUCAACAUCAGUCUAUGAGUGUUGGAUAAGGGUUUUGAGAAUGUAGCAAUUUAAUUGUGUUAUAGCUUGAGACUUGGAUACGAUGCUUUGGAUUGAGGAACGCGUAGUAAGCUUUGAGCGGAUUCGAAAGGAUCUCCUUACUAUGGAUGUUGGUGAAAUAACUUUAAGCGACCCGUCUUGAAACACGGACCAAGGAGUCUAACAUGCUUGCGAGUAUUAGGGUGUUGAAACCCGAAUGCGUAAUGAAAGUGAAUCUAAGAUGUGAUCCGCAAGGUGCAACAUCGGCCAGUCUGGAUCAUUUAUGUGAAGGUACUGAGCAAGAGCAAGUAUGUUAGGACCCGAAAGAUGGUGAACUAUGCCUGGAUAGGGUGAAGUCAGAGGAAACUCUGAUGGAAGCUCGUAGCGGUUCUGACGUGCAAAUCGAUCGUAGAAUCUGGGUAUAGGGGCGAAA
rnacentral:rRNA from 1 species